GCCCGGCUAGCUCAGUCGGUAGAGCGUUGGACUCGUAAUCCAACGGUUCGUGGGUUCGAGCG
rnacentral:tRNA from 1 species